UGGUUUAAGUCAUGACAGAAGGCCCAAAACAUCCAAAAGCUCCUCUCGUCUCCGUCAAAUCAUCUCUCUCUCUCACAAGUAACUCCACACACCUCUACUACUAAUGGCGCCCAGAAUCCUACUCUGCGGAGAUCCUCUCGGACGUCUGAAUCAGCUCUUCAAACGAGUCCAAUCGGUUAGCAAAUCGGCAGGUCCAUUCGACGCACUAAUCUGCGUCGGCCAGUUCUUCCCCGAUUCGCCGGAGCUUCUAGACGAGUUUAUGAACUACGUCGAAGGCCGAGCUCAGGUCCCGAUCCCCACUUACUUCACCGGAGACUACGGCGUCUCCGCCCCCAAAAUCCUCUCCGCGACCUCGAAGAAAACUGAGAAUCAAGGGUUUAAGAUGGACGGGCUCGUGGUCGCACACAACUUGUUUUGGUUAAGAGGGAGUGGGAAGUUCACUCUUCAUGGUUUGUCUGUGGCUUACUUAUCUGGUAGGGAGUCGUCUGAUGGUCAGUUUGGUAAGUACAGUCAAGAUGAUGUUGAUGCUCUUCGUGCACUCGCUGAUGAUUCUGGAGUCGUUGAUUUGUUCUUGACUAAUGAAUGGCCUGCGGGGGUUACUAACAGAGCUGCGGAGUCUGAUAUUCCUGCAGAUGUUUCUGAUUCGUCUUGUUGUGAUUUCAAUGUUUCUGAAUUGGUGAAGGAAGUUAAACCUCGCUAUCACAUUGCAGGUUCGAUGGGGGUGUUUUAUGCUCGUGAACCUUACUUAAAUGUUGAUUCUAGUCAUGUAACUCGCUUUCUUGGCCUUGCUCAAGUUGGAAACAAAAACAAACAGAAAUUUCUUCAUGCACUUUCUCCUACACCAACAUCUGUCAUGUCACCAUCAGAGCUUUGUGCAAAGCCUCCAAACACUACACUCUGUCCUUAUACUUUACAAGAGGGAGCUGCUGAUUCGAAGAAAAGGUCAAACGACGAUGCCUCUGAUUCACAGUAUUGGAGGUACGAUGUCUCGAAGCGGCAAAAGAAUGGAUCUGAUGGGGAAAAGCUCUGCUUCAAAUUUGUGUGCUCAGGGUCCUGUCCUCGUGGAGAAAGUUGCCAUUUCCAACACAACGCUGAGGCAAGAGAACAGUGCCGUAGAGGCGUUUGUCUUGAUCUUAUCAUCAAAGGAAAGUGUGAAAAGGGCCCAGAGUGCAGCUACAAGCAUGAGUUUCAAGAUUUGAGUGUACAAAGGAAGCCCAGAUCUGAAAAUGCUAACAGGUCUAAAGAAUGCUGGUUUUGUCUAUCAAGCCCGAGUGUGGAGUCACAUUUGAUCGUCAGUGUUGGGGAAAGCUUUUAUUGUGCUCUACCCAAAGGUUCACUAGUCGACGACCACAUAUUGAUAAUCCCAAUCGAACAUUUGCCCAAUACUCUGGCUUUGUCCCCUGAGGGUGAAUCAGAGCUCAGUAGAUACCAAAAUGGUCUGAGAAAUUGUUAUAAGAGCCAAGGAAAUGAUGCAGUUUUCUUUGAAUUGGUCUCUAAACGUGUUUCUCAUGCUAACCUCCAGGUUGUUCCUGUUCCAUCAUCCAGAGCUCGUCUUCUUCCUAAUAUAUUUAGCCUGGCUGCUGAAAAACUGGGCUUUAAGCUUGUGACCAAAAAGUUUAGUGAUAGUUCCGAGGGCAGAAAGUAUCUGCAGAAGGAAUACGAUGCAGCUUUGGGUCUCUUCUAUGUGGAACUUCCUGAUGGAACUGUGCUAUCACACACCCUAGAAGAGAACGAAGUAUUCCCUGCACAAUUUGGACGGGAGGUCCUAGCAGGGUUGCUAAAGAUCCCAGAUAGAGCAGACUGGAGAAACUGUAAGAUUAGCCAAGAAGAGGAGGCAAAGCUGGCUGAAGAUUUCAAGAAACGAUUUCAAGAAUUUGACCCUUGUCAGUAACCUUGCUGAAUUAUAUGUUAUCUUAUGCGCAUCAAUCAAGCAAAACUCAGUGUCCAGUGCACUCAGUAGGUGGGAGCUGAAUCAUGAGAUGCCAUCGUCAUUGAAAGGUCUCUCCAUGUUUAGAAACAGGUUCCUAAACAGUGUAUUUUUUUCUUUCUUGUAAACACUUCCGUUGAUAUUGUACCUUUUUUAGAAGAGAGUGAUCACCGCAGAAGCAUGCGCUUGACCUUUUUUCACCUAAACUAGUCGUUGUCCUUGGUCCUUUUUUAUUUUUCUUGUUGUUGGUUAAAAUAUAGUACCUUUUUUUUACUUUACGGUAACCGCUAUCAUUA